UUAAUGGAACAUGAAGAAACGGGUUGCUUGGUGUGAGUGAAAUGACUGAAUCCAGCUUUCUGUUUCUUGACUUGUGUGCAAGACAGAAUAAAACUCAGACAGCAGAUGUGUAAUGGGCUUCCCUUCAAAUACCUGACCAUUCUUGGAUCUGUUGGAAUGUGCUAUUUGUUGUGGGCUAUGGGGCAGGAGGUGGGGAGAACAAGAUGGAAGAGUUGGACUCAGUCCAGUCCACGAUGGGUGGAUAGUGACACUGUCAUGUGUGCCCCUCUGACGGUGAAGUGAAAGAAAGCCCACCUGGAACUUCUCAUGACAACAUCAAUAAACUGUCAAAGCACAAAGGAUUUGGAGAUUCAAGCUCCUAACCUCAAGAGAACUUCAGAACUAGAUGUGUUUUAUCAAUCAUAUAGAGAAAACUUUUCCUACCUCUUCUACGUUCUUCACAAGAAUCUAGCUAGCUCUCUUGCUGCAGCACAUUGUGCAAGUUCAUCAUGAAGCACUAACGGAAAGUUCCUUUCAGAGUCUGAGUAUUUGGAGGAUUUUUACCCAUCACAAAGCUUGGCUGAUCUUCACUCUUUCAGCUUCUGCUUCCUUUACCCUGAGUGCCAGCGGAGGAUGGAGAAUGGGGGCUGUGGUCAGUCCAUAACAGUUCCUCUCUGCCAUUCUUUCCUCCUCAUACUUCUCCCUUGCUCCAGAGGAGGUUCUGCCAUAGGCAGAAAAUCAAGAUAAGUCUAUUCCAGAAUGGGUCUCCAAGGGCCACAGUUUUCUUUUUGACAAAAAUAAUGAGUGCAAUCUCACAACCUCUUUGACCUCCCCAAACAGUCUCUGCUGUGGACCCGCCACCCAGGUUCUUCGUUUAUGUGUUAGAAAUAAUUUUUUUAGUAAUAGUACAUGUGGACACUCAGGGACAUUGGCAGCCCUGUUGUGUACCUCUUGCUCCACCAGCGUAAGGCCAAGGAAUCCCAUGUCAGAUCCAGCCUCUUCACCAGCCCAUGCCCAGUCCUGGCCCUAGUGAGAUAUGGACUGAUGCUGCAGCAUGUCUUGUCUCUGGCCCUAGCCCUGUCUCCUUAUGAGAUGCUGGCCCUAGUACCAGCCUGUCCCCUCAUAGUGCCUGGGGCUGCUGGUGGACCACACUAACACCCCCAGCUCUGCCUAUUCUGCUCAGGGACAGAGGGUAAGGGCGCACCCUGCCUGCACUCAGGUCACCCCAGCUCUUCUGCUGGAGUCAGCCCCUGUCAUGAUACCUGGUAGUAUGAAUGCAAAAGUACUUCUUUCCCCCCAUUUUAAAUUUGUAUUCUCCUUUCUACAUCAAAAACUCUGGAAGUUUAUUUUGCAUAUUCAACACCCAAACACACAAAUUCUGCUGUUUUCAAAGGCACGCUGUACAGGGCUGCAACCAAAGUUUUUGUAUGAAUUGUCAUAUGCCUGAGACUUUAAUGAUGUUUUUGAUCUUCUCCUUAGUUGCUUUCCUUUGUAAAUCAUCCAUCAAAAGUUAUGUUUUUGUACGGGAGAGUAACAAACUAUGUUACUAUAUUUGCAUGAUAGACAUUUAAUUGUAAUUAAAUGUAAUUUACAUUACAAUUGCAAAAUUGAAUAAAUAAACAUUAUGAUUCUACCAACA